rnacentral:rRNA from 1 species
CGAAUAGGGGAGCCGGAGGGAAACCGAGUCUUAAUUGGGCGUUAAGUUGCAGGGUAUAGACCCGAAACCCGGUGAUCUAGCCAUGGGCAGGUUGAAGGUUGGGUAACACUAACUGGAGGACCGAACCGACUAAUGUUGAAAAAUUAGCGGAUGACCUGUGGCUGGGGGUGAAAGGCCAAUCAAACCGGGAGAUAGCUGGUUCUCCCCGAAAGCUAUUUAGGUAGCGCCUCGUGAAUUCAUCUCCGGGGGUAGAGCACUGUUUCGGCUAGGGGGCCAUCCCGGCUUACCAACCCGAUGCAAACUGCGAAUACCGGAGAAUGUUAUCACGGGAGACACACGGCGGGUGCUAACGUCCGUCGUGAAGAGGGAAACAACCCAGACCGCCAGCUAAGGUCCCAAAGUCAUGGUUAAGUGGGAAACGAUGUGGGAAGGCCCAGACAGCCAGGAUGUUGGCUUAGAAGCAGCCAUCAUUUAAAGAAAGCGUAAUAGCUCACUGGUCGAGUCGGCCUGCGCG